GAUGAACGCUGGCGGCGUGCCUAAUACAUGCAAGUCGAGCGAACAGAUAAGGAGCUUGCUCCUUUGACGUUAGCGGCGGACGGGUGAGUAACACGUGGGUAACCUACCUAUAAGACUGGGAUAACUUCGGGAAACCGGAGCUAAUACCGGAUAACAUUUGGAACCGCAUGGUUCUAAAGUGAAAGAUGGUUUUGCUAUCACUUAUAGAUGGACCCGCGCCGUAUUAGCUAGUUGGUAAGGUAACGGCUUACCAAGGCAACGAUACGUAGCCGACCUGAGAGGGUGAUCGGCCACACUGGAACUGAGACACGGUCCAGACUCCUACGGGAGGCAGCAGUAGGGAAUCUUCCGCAAUGGGCGAAAGCCUGACGGAGCAACGCCGCGUGAGUGAUGAAGGGUUUCGGCUCGUAAAACUCUGUUAUUAGGGAAGAACAAAUGUGUAAGUAACUGUGCACGUCUUGACGGUACCUAAUCAGAAAGCCAUGGCUAACUACGUG
rnacentral:rRNA from 1 species